rnacentral:rRNA from 1 species
CACGGGGGGAGCAAGCGUUGUUCGGAAUCACUGGGCGUAAAGGGCGUGUAGGCGGUCAGGUAAGUGAGACGUGAAAUGCCCCGGCUUACCCGGGGACCUGCGUCUCAUACUGCUUGGCUUGAGUACGGGAGAGGGUGUGGGAAUUCCUGGUGUAGCGGUGAAAUGCGUAGAUAUCAGGAGGAACACCGGUGGCGAAGGCGCACACCUGGCCCGAUACUGACGCUGAGGCGCGAAAGCUAGGGGGAGCAAACGGG